rnacentral:rRNA from 1 species
GGGUGCAGCAGGCGCGAAAACUCUACAAUGCAGGCAACUGCGAUAGGGGAACAUCGAGUGAUCCUCAUAUUGGGGGUCUGUCCACUCGCCUAAAAAGCGGGUGUUAGCAAGGGCCGGGCAAGACCGGUGCCAGCCGCCGCGGUAAUACCGGCGGCUCGAGUGGUGGCCGAUAUUAUUGAGUCUAAAGGGUCCGUAGCCGGCUUUGCAAGUCUCUCGGGAAAUCCAGCGGCUUAACCGUUGGUCGUCCGGGGGGUACUACAUUGCUUGGGACUGGGAGAGGUAGGAGGUACUCAGGGGGUAGGAGUGAAAUCCUGUAAUCCUUUGGGGACCACCGGUGGCGAAGGCGUCCUACCAGAACAGGUCCGACGGUGAGGGACGAAAGCUAGGGGCACGAACCGGAUUAGAUACCCGGGUAGUCCUAGCCGUAAACGAUGCUCGCUAGGUGUCACAACAGUCGUGAACUGUUGUGGUGCCGUAGGGAAGCCGUGAAGCGAGCCACUUGGGAAGUACGACCGCAAGGUUGAAACUUAAAGGAAUUGGCGGGGGAGCAC